rnacentral:rRNA from 1 species
AGGACGAACGCUGGCGGCGUGCUUAACACAUGCAAGUCGAGCGAGGAGCUUGCUCCUAGCGGCGAACGGGUGAGUAACACGUGGGCAACCUGCCUCUAGCUCUGGGAUAAGCCCGGGAAACUGGGUCUAAUACCGGAUACGACCACCGAAGACAUCUUCUGGUGGUGGAAAGAAUUUCGGCUAGAGAUGGGCCCGCGGCCUAUCAGCUUGUUGGUGGGGUAAUGGCCUACCAAGGCGACGACGGGUAGCCGGCCUGAGAGGGCGACCGGCCACACUGGGACUGAGACACGGCCCAGACUCCUACGGGAGGCAGCAGUGGGGAAUAUUGCGCAAUGGGCGAAAGCCUGACGCAGCGACGCCGCGUGAGGGACGAAGGCCUUCGGGUUGUAAACCGUCUUUCAGCAGGACGAAGCGAAAGUGACGGUACCUGCAGAAGAAGCGACCGGCCAACUACGUACCAGCAGCCGC